rnacentral:lncRNA from 1 species
CUAGGGCAACCCCGGGAUACAGAAAGCCCUCUGUCCUUGCAGUAAGACAGAGGGUCUAAUUGAGCUGAUUAACACAAGACGAGUGCAGAUGGCUAAGUUGAAAGAGGACACUGUAACACAUGCCCACUGGUGCUUCAGGAGCUGUAAACACUCAGCCCUAGAUGAUGCCGUGAGGUUGGAGCCCACGUUCCCCACGACCUGCCUAUCUGCAUUCUCCCCCUAGGGGGUUGAACUGCAGGGCGCUGAAGAAGCCAGCCAGUCCCCAUGUCACACACCCUGUGAGGGGAAUAAGGAAACUCUUCCUGUUUCAACUGGGGCCUUGCCUGAGAUCCCGGAAGGGAGCUCGAUGGACAGCGCCAAAGCACGGAGGCAACUGCAAGUUGCUGGCCAGGGCCACUCUCUGGUGAAACAGAAAGGUUUC